AGGUCACCACCACCAAGGGUCACAUUGAGUGUGUCUGUGUGCACCCUUGGAAAGAAGCUUCAAUUGCAUUAAGUUUCUCAUGUCUGGCGCUGCCCUGGAGGUGGAUAGAGUCACUGCGGAGCUUGGUUUGGUUCGGUCCAUGGCGGAGCAAAAGAGCAAAGAGGCACAAGAAGCUAGGAGAAAAUGCCACGAACUGGAGGAUGAGCUGUCUGUUGUCCAAGCCCAGCUGAGUCGGUGCCGGGAAGGGACACAGGUUGCCAAAAACAAAGCUGAGCAGAUCCAGCGGCUGGAGGAGGAAGUGUCCAGGCUGAAAUCUCAGCAUAGUUCAGUCAGUCAGCAGUGCCUCUGCAUUCUCAUUUUUCACCCCAGCGUGCGCU
rnacentral:lncRNA from 1 species